rnacentral:rRNA from 1 species
UACAGAGACUGCAAGCGUUAUUCGGAUUCACUGGGCGUAAAGGGUGCGCAGGCGGUUGGGUGUGUCAGGUGUGAAAUCCCGAGGCUUAACCUCGGAACUGCGUCUGAAACUACUCGACUAGAGUACUGGAGAGGGAAACGGAAUUCACGGUGUAGCAGUGAAAUGCGUAGAGAUCGGGAGGAACACCAGUGGCGAAGGCGGCCUUCUGGACCAAUACUGACGCUCAUGCACGAAAGCGUGGGGAGCAAACAGG